CAGAUUGUCCACGACCAAAUUUUACCUGUCGUGGUUGUACGACGGCUGUUACAUCGACCUGGUUUUUUAUCAUGUAAGUUUAAAAAAAUAGAGGUUACUGGAAAUAUCCCUUAUUCUCAGCCUGACUGAUAUAGUUAUACACCCUUUUCAUAAAUGGCUGCCGAUUAAAAAUUCUUUUAUGUGCAUAUAAAUUGGCCCAAUUAACUAGCCUCGUACUCGUGUUAAGAUUUCAAACGAAUUUCUACCCAGAAACGAGGCUAGUUGGGCCAAUUUAUAUGCACAUAAAAGAAUUUUUAAUUGGCAGCCAUUUAUGAAAAGGGUGUAUUAGUUAGUUCUUCUACCGCUUAUGUAAAGCUUAUUUUACAUUGACAAUAAAGAUAUGUAUAUGUUCCGAUACAGUUGCAGUAUGAAACAGUUUAAACAGGCUUCAUCAUAGACAGUUCGUAAUUAAAUUUUAGCCCCCCCCCCCCCUACAUCCGAAUAAAAAAACUCGUCCACAGCCUAUGUCUGAAGUAUAUAUAGGUAUAUCAGUUUAUAUCUUCGAUUUGAUUCCUUCAUGAAAACCUAUAUAAAUUCAAUAAAUAAUAAUGUUGAGGCAAUUCAUGAAUAUAAUGGUACGUACUAGUACUAGUACUACGCUAAAUGUAUAAUUCUUCAAAUAGUCCAGGGUCAUAUUAUAUUGGAACUUAAAUUGCUCAUCAUGCAGUUGCGUUUUAUGGGCAACACGAUAAAAAAGUUGAUGAAUUUUAAAAUUUACACAAGAAAUUUCCAACAAAGUGAUCUAAAGACAUUGCAUGCAGUCCUCGCUGAUUCAUUCGAUUUAUUUAUUAUCUAUAAUUAUUCGCUCUUGUUUCUUUAGAACGUUGGGCAGCACCAUUAAAUUAUUCGUUGGUUGGUAAAGAAUGUAAUGGUUCAAACUGUAUUAUAAGGAUUGCAAGUUUUAUACAACAUUUUUUUACGCUUUCGAUGUCCGCAACUUUUGGUUUUAUAGUAUAUCCAGGCAUCCAGCCAAGUUUUGCGUCAUUAUUUAUUUUAUAUAGUAUAUAUAUGUAGCAUAUUUUACGAUAAACCAAUCACGGAAAAUCAAUCAUGGCUUUAUUAAGCCAUCAUCUACAUUUGUCAUUUAUAGUCUUUAUACACGCGUAAAAUUGUAAAAAUCUCAAGUCUGUCAACAAAUUGUGCUCGCACUGCUUGUACGAAGUUGUCAACAAGUUUGAAACAAGCUUUUAGCAACGCUAUAACUUGUAACAACUUUGUUGAUUUUAUCAGACUUGUUGCGGCAAGGUUGUUCCAACAAGUCCGAUACAGUCAUAAUAUAAGCAUACUGUUACAACCUCGUGUGGUCGACCUUGUAACAUUCUUGUCCAUGACUGUAUCAGACUUGUUAGAACAAUCUUGCAGGUAACAAGUCUGUAAUGUAAUCUUGCAGGUAACAUGUCAAGUAAUGCCAUCAAGCUUGUUACAGGUUGUUAACAGCUUGUUCCAAACUUGUUACAACAACUGGUGAAACAAGCAGUGCGAACACAACUUGUCGACAGCUUGUGAACGGAUUUGUAACAACUUGUGCGUUUUUAUACCUGUUACUCUUUAUGAAUCACGAUUUAGAGGCAUUGACUAUUUUUAGAUUUUUAUGCUCUAUCGUAUAAUUCAAUUAAAAUUGUUGAAGAGAGGUAGUAGCCGAGUUUUUUUAAUCAACUUCGCAGUGUUUCCAAUCAGAUGAUAAACUGCUGACAUUAAUUUAAAAAAUACAUAAACUUCCGGAUCGAAAGCUUUACAUAAAUGUGUUGUAUUCUACAAAAACAAGUCAAUUAUAUUAUGAUUGUCAUCAUGCCACUGAUAGCUAUUUGAACUAUCUAAAAUAUCAUAAUUUAG